rnacentral:rRNA from 1 species
UAGAGUUUGAUCCUGGCUCAGAUUGAACGCUGGCGGCAUGCCUAACACAUGCAAGUCGAACGGCAGCACAGGUAGCAAUACCGGGUGGCGAGUGGCGGACGGGUGAGGAAUACAUCGGGACCUGCCCAGACGUGGGGGAUAACGUAGGGAAACUUACGCUAAUACCGCAUACGUCCUACGGGAGAAAGCGGGGGAUCUUCGGACCUCGCGCGGUUGGAUGGACCGAUGUUCGAUUAGCUAGUUGGUGAGGUAAUGGCUCACCAAGGCGACGAUCGAUAGCUGGUCUGAGAGGAUGAUCAGCCACACUGGGACUGAGACACGGCCCAGACUCCUACGGGAGGCAGCAGUGGGGAAUAUUGGACAAUGGGCGCAAGCCUGAUCCAGCAAUGCCGCGUGUGUGAAGAAGGCCUUCGGGUUGUAAAGCACUUUUAUCAGGAGCGAAAUACUACGGGUUAAUACCUCGUGGGGCUGACGGUACCUGAGGAAUAAGCACCGGCUAACUUCGUGCCAGCAGCCGCGGUAAUACGAAGGGUGCAAGCGUUAAUCGGAAUUACUGGGCGUAAAGCGUGCGUAGGCGGUUUUUUAAGUCUGCUGUGAAAUCCCCGGGCUCAACCUGGGAAUGGCAGUGGAUACUGGAAAGCUAGAGUGUGAGAGAGGAUGGUGGAAUUCCCGGUGUAGCGGUGAAAUGCGUAGAGAUCGGGAGGAACAUCAGUGGCGAAGGCGGCCAUCUGGCUCAACACUGACGCUG